rnacentral:rRNA from 1 species
AUUGAACGCUGGCGGCAGGCCUAACACAUGCAAGUCGAGCGGCUGAAGGGAGCUUGCUCCUGGAUUCAGCGGCGGACGGGUCAGUAAUGCCUAGGAAUCUGCCUGGUAGUGGGGGAUAACGUCCGGAAGCGGGCGCUAAUACCGCAUACGUCCUGAGGGAGAAAGUGGGGGAUCUUCGGACCUCACGCUAUCAGAUGAGCCUAGGUCGGAUUAGCUAGUUGGUGGGGUAAAGGCCUACCAAGGCGACGAUCCGUAACUGGUCUGAGAGGAUGAUCAGUCACACUGGAACUGAGACACGGUCCAGACUCCUACGGGAGGCAGCAGUGGGGAAUAUUGGACAAUGGGCGAAAGCCUGAUCCAGCCAUGCCGCGUGUGUGAAGAAGGUCUUCGGAUUGUAAAGCCCUUUAAGUUGGGAAGAAGAGCAGUAAGUUAAUACCUUGCUGUUUUGACGGUACCAACAGAAUAAGCACCGGCUAACUUCGUG